GACGAACGCUGGCGGCGUGCUUAACACAUGCAAGUCGAACGAAGUGGCGAACGGGUGAGUAACGCGUAAUCAACCUGCCCUUCAGAGGGGGACAACAGUUGGAAACGACUGCUAAUACCGCAUACUGAAGGAGGGGAUUGCGUCUGAUUAGCUAGUUGAGGGGUAACGGCCCACCAGGUCGAUGAUCAGUAGCCGGUCUGUGGCGGUGGACGUCCACAUUGGGACUGUGGCACUGCCCAGACUCCUACGGUAGGCCGGCGUGGGGAAUCUUCCGCAAUGGACGAACGUCUGACGGAGCAACGCCUCGGGAGUGCUGGCGGCCUUCGGGUUGUAAAGCUCUGUUAAUCGGGACGCGGUACCGGAAUAGAAAGCCACGGCUAACUACGUGCCAGCAGCCGCGGUAAUAC
rnacentral:rRNA from 1 species